UAGAAAUCCAGGACAACGCCACUCGCAUCAAAUCCAUAAGGAGCCUGGUAAAAAAGCUCCCUAAACCAAACUAUGACACAAUGAAAAUCCUCUUUGAACACCUAAAGAAGAUAGCAGCCAAGGAAUCCGUGAAUCUUAUGUCAACACAAAGCUUGGGAAUUGUGUUUGGACCAACACUCCUUAGACCCGAAAAGGAGACAGGGAACAUGGCAGUCCACAUGCUGUACCAAAAUCAGAUAGUUGAACUUAUGUUGAGUGAGUACAGCAAGAUCUUCGGCUCUGAGGAAGACUGACAGACAGGGCCUGUUAUUGAAAACGUUCACAUCUGUCUUGAUGUCUAAUAUUUUUACAUUUCUGUAAACAUAUUUCUGAAAUAUUUCUUUUUCCUUCAAGUGACAGAUGCCUCAUUUUGUGAAAACUUAAUGAUGAUUUUGUGUUUAAUUUUCAAACAUUGGAAUAAAAAAUACUGUCAACAUUUGCCUAUAUGUAUUCUGCAUUAACCCUUUGAGAGUUUCAUUAUGCUAGCACUCCAAGUGUCACUUUUUUUGCAAGAUGAGCACACAGCAUAUGGCCAAAGACCAUAGAAAAUGCUGUUUACCAACAUAUGCAAUGUCACAAAAAGACAAAUAGUAACUGAGGAGAUUUGUGGGAAAUGGAUUAAAAUAUGUAUAUUAAAGGCAGUGAAUUAAAACAGCGAUACCAGAUCGUUUGUAGCUAAUUUGAGUAUAAUUUACCUCUCUCUUUGAUACAUAUUGAAAGUUAAAGUCAUGAUGAAUAAUCAAUUUGCCUACCCCAAGAGUUCAAAAAAAAAGAUUAUAUAUUUAAUACUUUUAAGCAAAUUAAAAAAAAAAAAAACAAACACCACCAGAAUGUCACUAUUUGCAUAACAGUGCCUAAAAAAAUUAAAAACAAAAUUGUAACUUUGGCAUUUUCACUUAAGUGCAGUACAUGAAAUGAAGACAUUGCAUGACUGCUCAUUUUAAUGUAACAUCCAUUUUGAUUCUUCAUCACACUGUACAUCUGCCCGCUUUCCCCAGCUAUCUCAUGUUCUGUAGCAUUUGUAUUGUGCUCCUGAGGAUGCUUUAUUGGUGAACUACAUUAAAUUCAUCUAGAAAGAACUUUAAAAAAAAGCUUUUUCAUAUGCCCUUAGGAUUACUUGGCUAGACUUGAAUCAAUUUAUGCAUUUGAUGGUUAGUUUCAGUUGUCAUGGAUAAACAAAAGGGUAACUGUCUAGAAUAUAUCAAAUAUUGUUUCAUUUUGAAAUGUAUGUUUCCAGCUAUACACAUCCUCUACCCUGUUUUGUAAAAGUAUUCUGCUGAUAAAAUGUGGACUUAUGUUUGACAGCUUUUUAAUCAAGUUCAAAGAGAAUAAAUAAAACUAAUCCAGUGUGGUAAA